rfam:Schistosoma curassoni strain Dakar, Senegal genome assembly, scaffold: SCTD_scaffold0018330
AGCCUUCUGUAUCUGUGCUGAGAUUUCGUCACACACUAAACCACAAAGGCAGAUGUGACUCCCAAGACAAGUGGAGUA